UCAAAGCGUAACCUUAGCCCCCCCAAAAUACCAUUAAUUUUCGUGAACCCUUAAGUUAUAAUGAAUGACUCCAUAUUUAUAUGGAAGACACCAUGCUAGGAUUAGUAACAAGAAUUUAUAAUUCUCCAAAAUGCAAAUAUAAACCAACAUGGAUGGACCAUUGGUAGUUACCGAACCUAAAUUCAAUGCAAUAACACCUACAAGAAAACUCUGCAGUACUUACUCGUUAACCUAACACCAGCGCAUUACAGGAAAGAUUUAAAAAAAGAGAAGGAAUUCGGCAAAUGACGGCCCCGCCUGUUUACCAAAAACAUCGCCUCUUGACUUAUAAUAAGAGGUCCAGCCUGCCCAGUGAAUUUUAAACGGCCGCGACAUCCUAACCGCGCGAAGGUAGCAUAAUCACUUGUUCUUUAAAUGGGGACUCGUAUCAACGGCAUCACGAGGGUUUUACUGUCUCCUCUUUUUGAUCAGUGAAAUUGAUCUUCCCGUGAAGAAGCGGGAAUAAAUUUAUAAGACGAGAAGACCCCAUGGAGCUUUAAACCAAAUAACAACUUAACCACUUACUCCAUAAUAAAUUUAAGCCCUGUUAUAAGGUUUUUGGUUGGGGUGACCGCGGAGUAAAGCACAUCCUCCACGACGAAAAGAACAAAAUCUUUAUUUAAGAACCACACUUCUAAAAAUUAGUAUACUAACGUUUACUGACCCGACAAUCGAUCAACGGACCAAGUUACCCUGGGGAUAACAGCGCAAUCUACUUCAAGAGCCCAUAUCGACAAGUAGGCUUACGACCUCGAUGUUGGAUCAGGGUAUCCCGGUGGUGCAGCCGCUACCGAAGGUUCGUUUGUUCAACGAUUAAAACCCUACGUGAUCUG
rnacentral:rRNA from 1 species